UACGUAGGGGGCAAGCGUUGUCCGGAAUCAUUGGGCGUAAAGAGCGUGUAGGCGGCCAGAAAAGUCCGCUGUGAAAACUCGAGGCUCAACUUCGAGCUGUCGGUGGAAACUUUCUGGCUAGAGUCCGGAAGAGGAGAAUGGAAUUCCUGGUGUAGCGGUGAAAUGCGCAGAUAUCAGGAAGAACACCCGUGGCGAAGGCGGCUCUCUGGAACGCAACUGACGCUGAGACGCGAAAGCGUGGGGAGCAAACAGG
rnacentral:rRNA from 1 species